CAGAAAUUAUUAUGUCUUAGAUUGCAAGUAUUCAGAUACAUGGACUUUCAAACCAAUCUCUGUGAUUGAAUUUUCAAACUUAAGUUUUAGGGCUUAAUUAGUUCAAAUUGUAAUUUGAACCUUCAGUUACAUCCUUGCAAUGAUUCAAUUUUGUUACAUGUAGAUUCUAUAAUACUGCUCUUCACGACACUUGUUUUCAAGAUUACGAAGACUACGCUAAUGAGUACGUUUACUGCAGCAAUACAAAAAGAUCUAUAUUUUUAGGGUUUGAGUUUGUGAUUUUCGUAUUUAAUUUCGUUCUGUUUCAUUUUAGUUAGUUAUUAUUUGCAUUUUAAGUUCAAAUUCAUAUUUAAGAUUCCUUGGAAAGUGAGUUGUUUAAUGCAACACAAAGGCUAAAAUUGAUGUACUGCGUUUUGUAAUUUGUCUAAAUGGACAGAACGAUACAAGGAUUGGAAAGAUUUGAUGUCCAUGCUCAUAAAAUUGUUGAAAUCUUUGCAAGAUUCAAUUCUUAUUGGAGCCAUGUAAGGUAACACCAUUGUGUUGAAAAUUGGUAUUCGCAUCAAAACUUCAAAUCAAACUUAUAUAACACAUAUAACAAUACUGCAUUGACUUCUUCUUCUUUUAAGAUAUUUUAAAACCAUUACCAUUAAAUUAUUACUAUUGAAACAAACAAAAAACAGAAAAACAAACAAACAAACAAAGCUAUGCCAUACUUUUCUCAAAUUUUUUGAUGCGACCAAUAAAACGAAGUGUUACCUGUUCGUGAAAUGUGGAGCCAUGUGUUGAGAACGAGUUUGACUCAGCUCAUUGCGUGAAACUUUUCAUACAUGAGCGUUAGAUGGGCUUGCUGGUGGGUUCUCCUUCUAGCACCAUGCAAGCAGCAAACACACGAAAGCUUUUUCCUUUCCGUCAUGAGCUCCUACAUGAAAUAGAGCUCUCUCAUGUUUGCUUUCUAUCUCUUGCAGAUAUAGAAUACAUACCGACACGAAAUGCAUCAACCUCUGAACGCUCUAGGUAACUUUGGCCACUUGAUCGAUGCACAAAGGCUAACGCCGGAGCGUUCAGAAGUUGAACAAAUGAAAUGAAAACGGAUACUGAAGAGAUAUACAAUAUCAGCUGGAAACACCUCAAAACACACUAGAACAAAAGCCUUCCAUACCUCACAUUCUAUGACUUAUUGUGUACAAAGAAGGGGAGAUCAAGAUUGUCAGAAUGCAUGAAAAAAACACGACUGACUGUAUCAGAAAGCCCACAAUGUCGCCUUCACGGUGCCAGGCAAACUUUCCUACGGCAACUGCGGGUCCAGUGAAUGGAUCACCUUCUGUUGC
rnacentral:lncRNA from 1 species